AUAAUAAAACCAUGGUUAAGAGAAAACAUGGUUAUUUUUAUGGGAUGUCACCUGACUUGUUUAACUGAUCUUUAAAAAUCGCACAGACUUAUAUUGUGACGUUGUUGAUUCCAAGUUAACAUUAUCAAACUCUGCAAGCCACUUCAAACUAUUUGAGCCCAUACUCAUAUUCUGUCUCAAAUGUUCCAUAUAUUUUAAUCUUUUAAUGUGUAGUUUGCCUCUUCUUUAAGAAAAAACACUCUGUAAGUAUGAACCAGUAUUUCUAGUAGGCUACAUUUUCAUAUUUUUGUUGUUAUUGACUUACAUUGAAAUAUUCCAUGCAUGCUUUACAAUAAUGCUUCAGCUAUAUAAAAUAUAACAUUAGGGUAACGCAAGUUUUCUUUUAAAUGAUGUUCUGUUUUUCCACUUCCAUCUCUUUUUUUAAUUUCUCUGAAGGUUGUGCGGCACUUCAACCCUAUAAACUACAGUGAAUAAAGUAAGACACAUUGAAUAAGAGCCCAUUACAAGCGGUAAAUUUUAUUAUGGGAUAACAGCACAUAAAGCACAUCUAAAAUCGAUGUGUCCAAUGCACUUUUAAUAAACGUAAUAUUAAAGGUACAGUUUUCUAAGUACAAUAUAACAACAUUCAUAUUAGAAUGAAAAGUAUUUAAAAGACAACAUUAAAUUUCUUAUUUUUCUUUACAGCGGUAUUUACAAAAUGAAUCAAAAUACUUAUUUUCAUAUUUAAGAAUCAGACAAACAGAAGGAGCAAAACCACUAUUGAGAAGAGACUAUCUCCUAAAGAGAGUUCCAAAGAGCUGAAUAAAAAGGUACAUGAUCGACUGUCCCCAUUUUAAGAUCAGUAGCAAACAUGUUACAUAAAAAUUUGUGACAACCGCAAACCGUUCUCUGCUUUUUUCCCCCCACAGGAAAGCAGGAGCAAAAUCCAACCCGUCUUGCCCCAGCCCUUGUGCCCUCCCCUUCAGCUCAACAAGAAAUAGAAGUGUAGAAACAACAGGGAGAACACGGAGUGGAUUGUCUAUUGUCCGCCAGUUUGUCUCUGCAAAUAUCCAAACGGGGGUUCGCGUUUAACAUCCAACCAGGGUGCAACUGACUGGAUGCAAUGUCCCAUAACCAAGUUGUUCAGAGGAAAAGAAAAAGUAACAUCUGAGAAUCUCUGAAAAUACAGGACAUCACAGAGACAAGAAAAUGCUGUUUCCAUGGCUAUAAACAAACAUGAAAUGCCUCAUUUACAUACAAAAAGACGGCCGAUGAAAAGUCGGUAACACAGACAGAAUUCACCUACGUGUGCAAACACAGUCAGUUGAGUAUGUGAAAAAAAAUGGACGAAUAGUUUCUGCAUCCUGUACCACUGAGAGGCACUCAGUGUAGUUUGCUCUGUAUUAUUGCAAGUAGAUUCUGCCUUGCUACGAAGAUAAAAACAGGAAGUUUCGCACAAAACUUCGUACAACCGCCUUUGUCCUGUACAAUUUAUAACACUUAACCAUCGUGUGUGUAUGUAAGUGUA
ensembl:lncRNA